UUAAAUUGCUGURGUAUUUUGACUAUACAACUUUUUGGAAAAAUAUUUUUUAUUAGGAUGCUAAGAGAAUGGACUCUCAGAGAAAAACUUUUUUUAAUUAAAAAUUGAAAUUUUUUUAAUUUGUGCAGAAACAAUUAUUAAUAUUAAGGACAAGAAGACCCUAUGAAUUUAUUAAAUUUCAUUCAAUAUGUAAUUACUAUUGAAGAAAUUUUGGCUGGGGCGGCUAAAAAAUAUUUUAAACUUUUUAAAAAUAAAAUGAUCCAUUAUUAAUGAUUAUAUGUUAAAUACUCUAGGGAUAACAGCGUUAUAUUUUUUGAUAGACCAUAUUGACAAAAAAGUUUGCGACCUCGAUGUUGGAUUAGGAUACUUUUUUAAUGCAGAUAUUAAAAAAAGAAGUUUGUUCAACUUUCAAUUUCCUACAUGAUCUGAGUUCAGACCGG
rnacentral:rRNA from 1 species